UACGUAGGGUGCGAGCGUUGUCCGGAAUUAUUGGGCGUAAAGGGCUCGUAGGCGGUCUGUCACGUCGGGAGUGAAAACACGGGGCUUAACCCGUGCCUGCUUCCGAUACGGGCAGACUAGAGGUAUGCAGGGGAGAACGGAAUUCCUGGUGUAGCGGUGAAAUGCGCAGAUAUCAGGAGGAACACCGGUGGCGAAGGCGGUUCUCUGGGCAUUACCUGACGCUGAGGAGCGAAAGUGUGGGAGGCGAACAGG
rnacentral:rRNA from 1 species